UACGUAGGGGGCAAGCGUUGUCCGGAUUUAUUGGGCGUAAAGAGCGUGUAGGCGGCCAGGUAGGUCUGCUGUGAAAACUCGAGGCUUAACCUCGAGCUGUCGGCGGAAACCAUCUGGCUAGAGUCCGGAAGAGGAGAAUGGAAUUCCCGGUGUAGCGGUGAAAUGCGUAGAUAUCUGGAGGAACACCGGUGGCGAAGGCGGCAUCCUGGACCAACACUGACGCUGAGUGAGCGAAAGCCAGGGGAGCAAACGGG
rnacentral:rRNA from 1 species